rnacentral:rRNA from 1 species
UCGGUCGCCGCCUUCUCCCUCGUCGCCGCGCAGGAGGCCCCGGCGCCGAGCCCCAUGUCGGCCGCCGGCGCAGCGGCGCCGUCCCUCGCCGCCGCGCUCGUCGCCUCCGGCGCCGCCUUCCUCUUCGCCGCCGUCCGCCACUGA